UUUCAGGACGUGAUGGCAUCCUGGAAAAAGUACUGGUAGGGAAGGAGUAGAUGAGCUGCCUGACUCAUUUGGUGCUAGACCCCACUUACCUGGCACCACAAACACUAUUAUUGCACAGGCACAGAUACUGAAGACUAUUGUUUUCUUAUUACUGCUAUUACCAUUGCUGUUAUCAUCAAAUACAAUAACCUUAUAAUUACUAUUGGACAUUCAUCAAGAAUUACAAAGCACUGCCUCUAAACAGGCUCCACCAAGGGUUGAUGACUUCAAGAGGACAGAAAAUAAAACUCCAUCUAAGCCCCAUGGUUUGAAUGGCCAGAAGCUGUUUUGUCACCACAGACUGCUCUUCUAAGAAUAUACAGACUUCAACUCACUGAAUGUGUCUGCAAGCCAAGGGUUUGCUUUCUCUGUUGUAGAAAGAAAUCCUCUGAGACACUGUUAUACUGUCUUUCCUGGAACUUUUUGGCAUAGAAACAAAAUGGAAAGGCCAGAACAGUCAAUAUAACUGUCAUGUGCUCAGUACCACAAAAAAUCUGCAUAACACCAAAUUUCAAGAGUGAUGGAGUAUGAACUGGUCCUUACAUGUGGAUUAUACAGAUGGUCCUCAAAGUGUUUAAGCACAUUUGAACAUGCAAGAUCCAUUAUUUAUUGCAAGAGAUGGCGAUCAGAGGCGGAACUUCGCAUGGGCCAUUAGCAGGUGCCAAGGGAACAUGGCUAGCAGUGAGUUCUUUAGCAUCCCGGCCUGCCUCCCUCGGCAGCCAGCCCCUCUGGCUGAGCCAGCUGGAUCACACUGAAUUAGUCAAGUACUUCAUUAUCAACCCUCUCUGCACAUUUUGCUCCAGGUAUAAGUACUACAGAAAGACCCACAGAGAGAGAGAGACAGAGGCCCAGACCAAAUCCCAGUAUUUACUAUCAAAGAAGGGAGAAGGAGCUCUGAGGGAAAAACACUAAUGAAAUACGCUUGACAACAGCGAAGGCAUCACAGAUUAGCACCAGCAAAAAUGCGCCACGGGCACCUGAUCUCCCAGCCUCGGCCAGAACCUCCUACAGAUCCACCAGGCCUCCUGCUUGACACUCUCCCCGUUGGUCAUACCCACGUGAUGGAAGUAGACAAAACUGAUGCAAGCUGCUACACAUCCAGCCCACACUCAGUGCACAGGUUUAUACAAGAGUGUGAACACCAGGAGGUGAGAGUGAAGGGGGCCGUCUUUGAAGUCUGCCUGCCUCACUUUGUUUGAAACUACAGGAACAGACUGUUAAUUCCAUGUUCCUGAGAAAACUCCUUAGCCCUCAACCUUGGUAUUUCCCUAUCUGUAACAUAUUGAUGAGAGAGUAGAUGGCAUCAUGUGUGGUCAUUUAUACAGCCAAAUUCAAGACUGAAUGAAUACAGAUCAAAUUUGCCCCAAAAAAUAUGGAAAACAAUAAGAUAUGCUUCUCAGAGUCAAGAUCUGCCCAUUGAAAGAUAAUUCUCCAUCUCCAGAUGCUUCUGCACAUCUUCCAAGCAGACAUUGCAUUUGUUUUAGACUAUCUUUUCAAGGAUGUUUGCAGAGUGAACAGUCUUGGAGGACAGAGGUAGUAUCUCCCUUCAGGGCACAGGUCAUCAGGCAUGCUUAUUUCCUUUAAAAAAAAAAAGAUUCAGGCUUCUGAGCUCCAGGGUUCCUCUCCUGUAACCCACUCCACUAUAUGUACAGAUAUUAUCUGGCCCUCUUUACAUUGUCCUUUGGGAAUUGAGACUCAGAGGACCAGCACAAAUGCUGAUACUUGGGCUACCAUUCUUACUGUGAAAAGUCCUGUCUCUGACCCAAGGGUCUCAUGUCUUCCACCAGCAUCCUUGAAACUAUGGGAGACUCUGACAGAUAGACUCCAACAUGGUCCUCAAGGUCCCCAUCUCCUCAUAUCAAUGCCCUGUCAUGUCCUCUUCCCUUGAGGAUGGGUAUUGCUUUUAACUAAUAAAAUAUAGAAAAAGUGACAUGGAUAUAUGUGAUUAUGUGUACGUAAUCAUAUUACAUAUAUCUAUAAUGUCUGUCUUACAAGAAAACUCUCCCCCUUGCUGGCUUUGAGGAAGAAAAUGGCCAUAUUGAGAAGAUCCAUGUAGCAAGAAACUGAAGGUAGCCUCCAGCUGAGAACUAGCAAGAAUUGGGGCCCUACAGCUUGUAGGAAACUGAAUGCUGUGAAAAAUCAUUAGAACUUGGAAACAGAUGUUUUUCUAGCCAAGCUUCAGAUAAGAAUACAGUACUGGUAAUAUCUUGAUUGUAGCCUUGCAAGAGAUUCAGUUAAGCUAUGCCUAAGCUGUGACCCACAGAAUCUAUGAAAAAUAAAUGUGUCUUGUUUUAGGCCACUAAUUCUGUGGUACUGAGCAAAUGAUAAUAAACAGACUACUUUCGUAGUUUGAAAAUAGGGUGAAAUCUCAGACCCCUCACAGUAUUUGACUGUUUUAUCAGCAAAGAUUGGAUGCUGCCAGGCAUAUGACUUUCUGUAAGAGAAAGGAAAAGGGCCUUAUGCAAAAUUGAUGAGAAUUGAGGGAAGUUCAUGGAAAUCAGUAAACAAUGUACAAUGUUGCCUCCCUCACUGUAUGGCAACUGGGUCGACUUUUGGCAAAGUCAGAAGUCUGGUGUGCAGUGGCAACUCUGCCUCAAAGAACAUGAGGUUCUUUAUUGUUUGCCCAGUAUAAGAUGGCCAAUGUAUUGACAAACUGUAUGGUUAACCAGGCAAUAAGUAGUCCU